CAAAUUAAAGCUUUAUAAAAGCAUUUUAUUUACAUUAAAAAGAUUAUUGUAAUUCAAUAUAAUUUGA
rnacentral:tRNA from 1 species